rnacentral:lncRNA from 1 species
CAGGGGCAUUCAGCAUCAUAGUGAAAAUACUUUCCCUUUGCUUCGACCUUUUUAGAGCAUCCUUCUUUGGUUUACUCUCUUUCUUCUGCUUCUUAGCGGAUUUAGUCUUCUUCUUUUCAGUAGACUUUCUUUUGGAAGAAGUCCACUCUACAGCGAGAACAGUGCCCCUUGAACUCUUUAAGGUUCCUUCUGUAGCGACCAAC